rnacentral:rRNA from 1 species
CAGUCGCCACGGGAAUACGUAGGGUGCAAGCGUUAAUCGGAAUUACUGGGCGUAAAGCGUGCGCAGGCGGUUCUAUAAGACAGAUGUGAAAUCCCCGGGCUCAACCUGGGAACUGCAUUUGUGACUGUAGAGCUGGAGUGCGGCAGAGGGGGAUGGAAUUCCGCGUGUAGCAGUGAAAUGCGUAGAUAUGCGGAGGAACACCGAUGGCGAAGGCAAUCCCCUGGGCCUGCACUGACGCUCAUGCACGAAAGCGUGGGGAGCAAACAGGAUUAGAUACCCCCGUAGUCCCUGUCUCUUAUAC